CCAUUCUCUCACUAUUCACCCUUUUACACACACUCAUACGUAAAGGCUAUGCAGAGUUUAUUCACUAUGCCAAGCAGAAGGAUACAAAAUGGAGUUUUCAAGUUGCUUACAGGACAAGACUAACAUGGUUGUUCUGGCCUGCCUCCAGCCAUCAUAACUACUGAGAACCAGUCCCCACCUUCAA